CACAGUCUUUUUCUUAUUUGAUCUAUUAACUUUUUCUAGUCUUCACUCUGCCAAGGAAAGGCGAGAGAAAAGCGUGACAAAAAAUUCAUGAACUCCACCUCUUCUGCAGCUCUCCUGCUCCUUUCCUAAAUCCAAACAUUAAUUUUUCCAUUCUCUCUUCCUCCUUUACAACAAAAACCUUCUCCGCUAUUUUAUUUUCUGAUUUUUUCACUUCACUGUUCCCUUCAUUUUCUCCGAUUAUACCCAAAUUGCUCAACUCGGGCCUUGCCUCCACCCUCCAAAAACUUUGAUCGAUUCUUAAAGCUCCAAAUUACACGGUGUGGUUCAUUUUAAUUUUCUAGGAAUCAGGGCGUGAGUUGGUUGAGUCAACCCUGAGAAGAUGUUUUUCACCGGUGAUCCAACUACUCGGAAGCGAGUUGAUUUGGGAGGCCG
rnacentral:misc_RNA from 1 species